AGCGUAGGCGGACAUUUAAGUCAGAGGUGAAAUCCCGGGGCUCAACCUCGGAAUUGCCUUUGAUACUGGGUGUCUUGAGUAUGAGAGAGGUGUGUGGAACUCCGAGUGUAGAGGUGAAAUUCGUAGAUAUUCGGAAGAACACCAGUGGCGAAGGCGACACACUGGCUCAUUACUGACGCUGAGGCUCGAAAGCGUGGGGAGCAAACA
rnacentral:rRNA from 1 species